AUUCUGAUGGCAUUGAGCACAGCCCAGUAAAAGACAAAUGAACAAGCUUGGAGUGUGUCUGAGUUUCCUGCAGCAUCAGGAGAGGGAGAGAGAGACACCAUGAUUCCUACCAAGAUGCUACUGCUCUUGCCGUCAAUGGCUUUGCUGGCCUUGGGGUCUGCUCAGGGCAUCGAUGACGGUAAAUUGGGGAGAUAGAAGAUCAUGCAAGCAUGCGGAUGAUGAAUUGUUGAAAGAAAACCCCACGGAAUCACAAGUGAAACCUCAAGAAGAAAAUGGAGAUCAGAAUGGCAAGGCGAGCAAAGAUGAAGACAAACACAAUGGACAACAGAAGAAGCCUCAUGACCAUGGUGUCCAGGGAGACCAGGCCACUCUAUUUAACAUAAGUGGCCCACAUCACCCACAUUGCCCACAUUGUCCUGGAGGCCAACAAGGUCCUCAGAGACCAGGUUGCCAAGGUGGUCCAGGUGGCCCACAGGGUCCAGCAGUCCAACAAGGCCCAGGUGGCCAACAACGUCCAGGAGUCCAAGGUGGUCCAGUUGGCCCACAGCGUCCAGCAUGCCAACAGGGCCCAGUUGGCCUACAUCAUCCAGGGACUCAAGGUCAUCCAGAUGGUCCACAGAGUCUAGCAGGGCAACAGAGCUCAGGUGGCCAAGGUGGUCUAGUUGGCCAGCAUGGCUACCGUGGUGUCCAGUGACAAGGAAACCAAGUAAAGAGGACCUCCUAUGAUUUACUAGGUAUUAAUUCUAUUCAUCUCAAUAAUGUGUGGGAAUAAUGUGUGGGAAUGCACACUGGCACAGCCACUAUAAAAAACAGCAUGGCGGUUCCUCAGAAAAUUACAAAUACAACUACAAUGCAAUCCAGCACUUCCCUUUUGGGUAUUUAUCCAAAGAAAAUGAAAACACUAUUUUGCAAAGAUACCUACACCCUAAUGUUCACUGCAUCGUUAUUUACAAAGCCUAGCUAUGGAAGGAGCUAUCCUCAUGGCCAUGGAUAGAGGAAUGGACAAAGAAGACGUGGUGUGUAUAGACAAUGGAGUAUUAUAUAACACUAAAGAAGAAGGAAAUCUUGACAUUUGAGACAACACAGAUGGAUCUAGAGAGUACAAUGCUGACUGAAAUAAGUCAAUCAGAGACAGGUAAAUACCAUACGAUUUCAAAAGUAUGUGAAAUCCAAAAACCAAAAUAAAUGAGCCAACAAAACAAAACA
rnacentral:lncRNA from 12 species